rnacentral:ncRNA from 3 species
GGAUCAAUUUGUUGGUCGUGCCUCGGUACGUACUGGCAUUAUUGGUUUCUACCUUCUGAAGAACCUUGAUGUCAUUAAUUUGGUGUCUUGGGGAAUCAGGACUGUUACUUUGAAAAAAUUAGAGUGUUUAAAGCAGGCAUACGCUUGAAUACAUUAGCAUGGAAUAAUGAAAUAGGACGUUUGAUUCUAUUUUGUUGGUUUCUAGGAUCGACGUA